rnacentral:lncRNA from 1 species
CACUCAUAGUUCUUCUUCUAUUCAUCUAACUUUUCAGUCUUCACUCCUGGCUCCCUUCCCUCUGCCCCACUUUGAGCAAACUGGUGUUCCCUCGGGCUCUGUUCUUAUUGUUCUACCUGCUUCCAUAAAACAAUAUCAUCGACUGCCAAGAUCUUAGUAUUGUCCAGAAAUUGGCUUUGCAUCAGCUCUGUGACAGAAAAAUGCCAGCUUAUAUGCAAGAUGUGGGAUACUUGCGUAAGUGAUCACACAGGUAAAAGAGUGAAGGGUAACUGAGGGAGGCAGGGUGGCAAAGGAGAGAAAGCUACAGGAAUGGAGAAAGUAACCAUCACAGGAAUUGAGAGGGGGCCGUUGACCCCAUCCACUCCCUGGCCUAUGCAGUACCA